AGGGCGCACGGUGGAUGCCUUGGCACUAGAAGCCGAUGAAGGACGUUACUAACGACGAUAUGCUUUGGGGAGCUGUAAGUAAGCUUUGAUCCAGAGAUUUCCGAAUGGGGAAACCCAGCAUGAGUUAUGUCAUGUUAUCGAUAUGUGAAUACAUAGCAUAUCAGAAGGCACACCCGGAGAACUGAAACAUCUUAGUACCCGGAGGAAGAGAAAGAAAAUUCGAUUCCCUUAGUAGCGGCGAGCGAAACGGGAAGAGCCCAAACCAACAAGCUUGCUUGUUGGGGUUGUAGGACACUCUAUACGGAGUUACAAAGGACGACAUUAGACGAAUCAUCUGGAAAGAUGAAUCAAAGAAGGUAAUAAUCCUGUAGUCGAAAAUGUUGUCUCUCUUGAGUGGAUCCUGAGUACGACGGAGCACGUGAAAUUCCGUCGGAAUCUGGGAGGACCAUCUCCUAAGGCUAAAUACUCUCUAGUGACCGAUAGUGAACCAGUACCGUGAGGGAAAGGUGAAAAGCACCCCGGAAGGGGAGUGAAAUAGAACCUGAAACCGUGUGCUUACAAGUAGUCAGAGCCCGUUAAUGGGUGAUGGCGUGCCUUUUGUAGAAUGAACCGGCGAGUUACGAUUUGAUGCAAGGUUAAGCAGUAAAUGUGGAGCCGUAGCGAAAGCGAGUCUGAAUAGGGCGUUUAGUAUUUGGUCGUAGACCCGAAACCAGGUGAUCUACCCUUGGUCAGGUUGAAGUUCAGGUAACACUGAAUGGAGGACCGAACCGACUUACGUUGAAAAGUGAGCGGAUGAACUGAGGGUAGCGGAGAAAUUCCAAUCGAACCUGGAGAUAGCUGGUUCUCUCCGAAAUAGCUUUAGGGCUAGCCUCAAGUGAUGAUUAUUGGAGGUAGAGCACUGUUUGGACGAGGGGCCCCUCUCGGGUUACCGAAUUCAGACAAACUCCGAAUGCCAAUUAAUUUAACUUGGGAGUCAGAACAUGGGUGAUAAGGUCCGUGUUCGAAAGGGAAACAGCCCAGACCACCAGCUAAGGUCCCAAAAUAUAUGUUAAGUGGAAAAGGAUGUGGCGUUGCCCAGACAACUAGGAUGUUGGCUUAGAAGCAGCCAUCAUUUAAAGAGUGCGUAAUAGCUCACUAGUCGAGUGACACUGCGCCGAAAAUGUACCGGGGCUAAACAUAUUACCGAAGCUGUGGAUUGUCCUUUGGACAAUGGUAGGAGAGCGUUCUAAGGGCGUUGAAGCAUGAUCGUAAGGACAUGUGGAGCGCUUAGAAGUGAGAAUGCCGGUGUGAGUAGCGAAAGACGGGUGAGAAUCCCGUCCACCGAUUGACUAAGGUUUCCAGAGGAAGGCUCGUCCGCUCUGGGUUAGUCGGGUCCUAAGCUGAGGCCGACAGGCGUAGGCGAUGGAUAACAGGUUGAUAUUCCUGUACCACCUAUAAUCGUUUUAAUCGA
rnacentral:rRNA from 1 species